rnacentral:lncRNA from 1 species
UUAGAUUUAUUUUAUGUUGAUUUUGUAAUAGUUAGUGAAACGGUCUAAUGAACGUGUAUAGACCCGCUUGUUUGAAGUGGUCAAACGAGAGGGUUAUUCGUUAGACCGUGUCUGUUUGAAAGACAAGGGGGUGUGGCUAUAAAUAGCAACCCCAAGUCAUUUCCAACACCUGAAGCUUUAGGAGGUUUGAGACCUCACAGGGAGAGAUCACCACUUGGUCUCUCCUCAGAUGUGUACUCCUUUGGUAUGGUUCGGUUAGCUUGUUAAUCGGGCCGGCUUGUUAUGUUAUGUUACGAAAUCAAUACAAUCACUUAUACUCAUGCCAAAGGGCGGUCACAUGGAGUUUUCCCUUCCUGUGACGAGACGAACGGUGGUUUGUUUUGUAGGUUAUAUCUGUUCAAUUCAAUCCGUGUCACCGUGUGUGCCGGAUAGCUUUCCCUUGUUGAAGUUAGUAUCCAGAUCCAGUGGUUAGCUAGGUGCUUGCUUCUUAACUUGCUACCACCAAACAGAUUAUCAAACUGUACAAUGGGCACCGGCCCAAAUUAACGAAACGUAGGUCAAAGGAAGAAUUCGGGCUCCAUGCAACUGGAGGACUUAUGCCUUUGUCACAACUCGAUUACACACUCUGUAGUUUGAGGACUAGUACUUAUCAUCCUCCAUAACUGUUCAAACAUGUACAGUUUAUGUUUUUAUUUGCGAUUAUCAUUAUGUCACAAAUUAAGAUCGAGCAUGAUAGGAAUGGUUUUAAACAGUUAAAACUAUAUGUAUAAACACUUCGGUAAUGACAGGAAUUGAAUCUUUAGAAUCAUGUGCAACUUUUAACCAGCUUUGAAGUAUGGGCUAUAAAAAAGUUCAAAAGAAUUGAAAUCUGCAUUGACGA